AGAUCAUGCCCCGUUUCUCCAUCAGUAAAAAGAAGACGAUGACAAUGAUCCUUCAUGAUGGUAGAGAAGUAAACACCUCCAUUCGUGCUUGGUACCAUGAAUGGCACAAAAUAAAAGAUCUGCGGCUAUAGAACCCUUCUCCAUGACAUUUUCACAGAACACACUAUUUAAGAUUUACAUCAUUUCAUCACUCAAGGCAUACAGUUGCCCUGCUAAAGACGAAAUUUCCCAGCCUCCCUUGUGAAUAGGUGUGGUCAUGUGACUAAGUUCUCACCAUUACUAUGUGAGUAGCAUUGAAUGGGUAACUUCUAGGUCCUUUUAAAAAAUGCUUUUCUGGAACUUGUUUUUCUUCCCUUUCCUUUCUCCAGGCUGAAGUGGAAAUUACUAGAACAAUCCCAUAAGUAUCAUGUUAAAGUUAGCAAAGAUGCCUCCACUCUGUGGAGUAAAGCCCCCCUGUCUACUGUGAAAUGUUACUUUUGCAAGAUAUAGAUGCCUAUUUCUUGUAAGCUACUCUAUUUUUAAAUUUAUUUGUGGGAAGAGUUUUGCUUUCUACCAAAUUAGAGCAGAGAUUAUUUUUAAAAGACACGUAAAAUAAGAAAUAUAGGAAUAUCUGUGUUUUAGGAAAGAUCAAGAAUGGGAAAGUCAUUUGUGAUACAAUAAUCUCUAGAAACCAGAUUAUCUGGUUUUUCUUCAGUAUAACAUUUCUGAUACUCCCUUCUCUAGUUUUCCUUUUUUUGGAAGUUUAUUUAUUUAUUUUAAGAGAGAGAGACAGAGACAGCAUAAGCAGUGGAGGGGCAGAAAGAGAGGGAAAGAAAGAAUCCCAAGCAGGCUCUGAACUAUCAGC